UCGGGUCCGUCGCAGGCACCCGGCCGUUACAAGGCAUUUCGCCCAAGCUCUGC
rnacentral:ncRNA from 1 species